rnacentral:rRNA from 1 species
GACGAACGCUGGCGGCGUGCUUAACACAUGCAAGUCGAGCGGUAAGGCCCUUCGGGGUACACGAGCGGCGAACGGGUGAGUAACACGUGGGUAACCUGCCCUGUACUCUGGGAUAAGCCCGGGAAACUGGGUCUAAUACCGGAUACGACCACUGAAGGCAUCUUUGGUGGUGGAAAGUUCAGGCGGUAUGGGAUGGACCCGCGGCCGAUCAGCGUGUUGGGGGGGUGAUGUCCUACCAAGGCGACGACGGGUAGCCGGCCUGAGAGGGCGACCGGCCACACUGGGACUGAGACACGGCCCAGACUCCUACGGGAGGCAGCAGUGGGGAAUAUUGCGCAAUGGGCGAAAGCCUGACGCAGCGACGCCGCGUGAGGGAUGACGGCCUUCGGGUUGUAAACCUCUUUCGACUCAGACGAAGCGUAAGUGACGGUAUGAGUAGAAGAAGCACCGGCUAACUACGUGCCAGCAGCCGCCGUAAUAC